rnacentral:lncRNA from 12 species
CCUCAACUGGGUCUCACAGGGAUCUAGUGAACAUGCUCCCCACCUGCGCCUCAUCUGGACCUGGUGACUCUGGUUCUUCCUGGGCAUCAUCGGGACAUGGUUACUCUAUUCCUCACUGGGACUGACCUAAUCCUGGUAACUCUGGUCCUGAUUUUGGCCUCUUCUGUACCAGGUGACUCUGGCUACACCUGGGCCUCACAUGGACCUGGUGACUCUCGUUCCCACAUGAACCACACGUGGACCUGGUGACUGUGGUGUUCUUGUAGUCACUAUUACUUGGUGACUCCGUUCCCCACUAGAGCCUCACCUGGAUCUGGUGACUCUGUCCUGCAAGUUGGCCUCACCUGGACCUGGUGAGUGGGGUUUCCACCUGGGCCUCACCCAUACCUGGUACCUCAAGUCCCCACGUGGGCCUCUUGGACCUGGUGAAUCUGGUCCUUACCUGGUUCUCCCAGACCCGGGGACUCUGGUCACCAACUGGGCCUCACCUGGACCUCUUGAAUCUGGUCCUCAUCUGGGCCUCACCCAGUCCUAGUGACUUUGUUCUCCACCUGGACAUGAUUGCUGUGGACUCUUUCUUGGCCUCACCUGGAACUGGUGACUCUGAUCCUAUCUGCGCGUCACCCAGACCUGGUGACUCUGGUCCUCACCUGGGCAUCAUUGGUACCUGGUGACUCUGUUCCACACAUGAGCCUCACCUGGACAUGAUGACUCUGGAACCCCUCUGGCCCUCACCCUGACCUGGUGACUCUGGUCCCCAUCUGGAUAUCACCUGGACCAGGUGAUUCUGGUACCCCUCUAGGCCUCAACCAGAUCUGGUGACUCUGGUCCUCAACUGGGCCUCACCUGGACUUAGUGAAUAUGCUCCAUCUUGGCCUCAUUUGGACCUGGUACAUCUGGUUCCUACAUGGGCAUCAUCGGGACACGAUUCCUCUGCAUGGCCUCUCCUGGGCCUGGUGAGUGUGGUUGCCACCUGUGCCUCACCCAUACCUGGGGACACAGGUCCCCUCGUGGGCCUCGUGGACCUGGUGAAUCUGGUCCUUAUCUGGCCGUCUCCCAUCCCCGGGGACUCUGGUCACCACCAGGGCCUCUCCUGGACCUGGUGAAUCUGUUCCCAAUCUGGGCCUCACCCAGUCGUGGUGACUUUGUUCCCAACCUGGACCUGAUUGCUGUGGACUCUUUCUUGGCCUCACCUGGAACUGAUCUGGUGACUCUGGUCCUCACCUGUGGACCAUUAUGACCUGGAUACUCUGUUCC